GAUGAACGCUGGCGGCGUGCCUAAUACAUGCAAGUCGAGCGAACGGACGAGAAGCUUGCUUUUCUGAUGUUAGCGGCGGACGGGUGAGUAACACGUGGAUAACCUACCUAUAAGACUGGGAUAACUUCGGGAAACCGGAGCUAAUACCGGAUAAUAUUUUGAACCGCAUGGUUCAAAAGUGAAAGACGGUCUUGCUGUCACUUAUAGAUGGAUCCGCGCUGCAUUAGCUAGUUGGUAAGGUAACGGCUUACCAAGGCAACGAUGCAUAGCCGACCUGAGAGAGUGAUCGGCCACACGGGAACUGAGACACGGUCCAGACUCCUACGGGAGGCAGCAGUAGGGAAUCUUCCGCAAUGGGCGAAAGCCUGACGGAGCAACGCCGCGUGAGUGAUGAAGGUCUUCGGAUCGUAAAACUCUGUUAUUAGGGAAGAACAUAUGUGUAAGUAACUGUGCACAUCUUGACGGUACCUAAUCAGAAAGCCACGGCUAACUACGUG
rnacentral:rRNA from 1 species